GCACGCGCGCUACACUGACAGAGCCAGCGAGUACUCCCUUGGCCGAAAGGCCCGGGUAAUCUUGUUAAACUCUGUCGUGCUGGGGAUAGGGCAUUGCAAUUAUUGCCCUUCAACGAGGAAUCCCUAGUAAGCGCAAGUCAUCAGCUUGCGUUGAUUACGU
rnacentral:rRNA from 1 species